rnacentral:snRNA from 1 species
AAAAAGGGCUUCUAUUGUGAGUGGCACACAUAGGGCAGCUCCAUUGCUCUUUGUGCAGAAUUGACAUCAAGAGAUUUCAGAAGCAUAAUUUUUUGUUACCCAGGCAGCUUGUGAUCAUUGGUCCUGAAAGAAAAAAAAAAAAAAAAAAGAGUCAGAUGCUUAACCGACUAGGCAACCAGGUGCCCCU